rnacentral:snoRNA from 1 species
AUGCACUAUCUGAAGUGGAAUGGCAGUUUCCCCUUGCCAUUUUCACACAUCAAGAUUUGGUGCAAGAUCACAUCAGUCUUGUCAUAACUGGGGUUUCUUAGCAGUUUUCCUAAGUUUCCUUUUUAAAGCAAGGCACAACU